rnacentral:rRNA from 1 species
GACGAACGCUGGCGGCGUGCCUAACACAUGCAAGUCGAACGGGGUUACGGGAGCUUGCUUCUGUAACUUAGUGGCGAACGGGUGAGUAACACGUGAGGAACCUGCCUUUCAGUGGGGGACAACAGUUGGAAACGACUGCUAAUACCGCAUAAUGUACUAUAGGGGCAUCCCUUAAGUACCAAAGCUUUAUGUGCUGAAAGAUGGCCUCGCGUCUGAUUAGAUAGUUGGUGGGGUAACGGCCUACCAAGUCAACGAUCAGUAGCCGGUCUGAGAGGAUGAACGGCCACAUUGGGACUGAGACACGGCCCAAACUCCUACGGGAGGCAGCAGUGGGGAAUAUUGCACAAUGGGGGAAACCCUGAUGCAGCGACGCCGCGUGAGUGAAGAAGUAUUUCGGUAUGUAAAGCUCUAUCAGCAGGGAAGAAAAUGACGGUACCUGACUAAGAAGCCCCGGCUAACUACGUG